AUGUGCUAUCUUCUAUAAUGUUAAAUCUUUUUAAAUGCGAUGGUGCUUUUGUGUGACCAAAUCUCAGUCUAUUCAUUGUUGUGAUAAAAUCUCGACUGGCUAUUUUCAAAUCAUUAUACCAGGGCUUAGAAGGAGAAUCUGAGACAAAUUGGGACUUCUGUUCCAUAACAAAUCAUCACCUGAGGUCAUAGGUGUUUGAUGGACAAUUGAAUUAGAUCUGAGAUAAGGGAGACGAAACUGUCAGCACAACUUCUGCCUUUUCUGAAGCCAUAUUGAACAUUGGGAAUCAAGCCAUUUGACUCAACAAACCAAUCAAGACGUGUUUUAAUCAUAUUUUCAAAUAUUUUACCUAAACAUGAAGAGAGAGAAAUGGGUCUAUAUGAAUUUGGAUCUUCUGGAGGCUUAUAUUGUUUUAAAACAGGAAUAACACAUUGAGUCUUCCAAGAUUGUGGGAUUAUUUGAUUCACCCAAAGACUAUUAAGUAUAUUUAAAAAUAAUUUCUGCACUGAAGUAUCUAAUUUUUUUAUAAGAAUAUAAGGAAAAUCAUCUAAUCCAGGUGAUGUAUUCUUUCGCGAGUUCAAACUGUUUUCAAAUUCGUGGAAAGUAAAUUUUUGUAUAAGAAAACUUGAUUUAAUGUCUGAAUUAUGAAGAUCAAAAUAGGUAUUUAAUUCAUGAAUGUGUAAGCCGGUUUCUGUUAACUUAUCAAAAAAUCCAUCAAUGAAUUUGUCUGAAUAAGAUUUAUUGGAAGCUUUUCUAUGUUUAAACAUUUUAAUGUAAUUCCAUAUUUUACUUAUCGGUGUAGUUCUAUUAAAACUGUUACAUAGUCUACUCCAUCCAUUUUUCUUUUCUUCUGAUAUUGUUCUUUUUUUAAUAGCAUUUAAUCUUUGAUAUUUUACAAAAUUUUCUAUUGUAGGAUUACUUCUAUAAUACUUUAAAGCUUCAUAAGAGUCUGUAACACUUUUUUCACAUCUAUCGUUCCACCAAGGAGCUGGUAGUUUACUUUUGUAUGAGCUAGGUUUUGUAAAUUUCCUAACGCAUUCUUCUUUAAGAGAGUUUAACUUGUUACAAAAAUAUUCAUAAGUUUCUAAAGGAUUAUCACUAUUAAUGGUAAAAUUUGUAAAAAAGGACUUAGAAAGUUCGUAGUAUUUUUGCCAGUUUGCUUUACUGUACAUAAAUUUAUCUAUUGGAGGAUUUAUUUGAUAUCUAUCAAUUGAAAGUGCAAUAGUAAUGAUCACAGGAAAGUGG